rnacentral:rRNA from 1 species
UACAGAGGUCCCGAGCGUUGUUCGGAUUUAUUGGGCGUAAAGGGUGCGUAGGCGGCGGAGUAAGUUGGGUGUGAAAUCCCGGGGCUCAACCUCGGAAUGGCAUUCAAUACUGCUUCGCUAGAGUACUGGAGAGGAGGCUGGAAUUUACGGUGUAGCAGUGAAAUGCGUAGAUAUCUGGAGGAACACCGGUGGCGAAGGCGGCAUCCUGGACCGGUAUUGACGCUGAGGCGCGAAAGCUAGGGGAGCAAACGGG